rnacentral:rRNA from 1 species
GAUGAACGCUGGCGGCGUGCCUAAUACAUGCAAGUCGAGCGAACAGACGAGGAGCUUGCUCCUCUGACGUUAGCGGCGGACGGGUGAGUAACACGUGGAUAACCUACCUAUAAGACUGGGAUAACUUCGGGAAACCGGAGCUAAUACCGGAUAAUAUAUUGAACCGCAUGGUUCAAUAGUGAAAGACGGUUUUGCUGUCACUUAUAGAUGGAUCCGCGCCGCAUUAGCUAGUUGGUAAGGUAACGGCUUACCAAGGCAACGAUGCGUAGCCGACCUGAGAGGGGGGUCGGCCCAACUGGAAACUGGAAACCGUCCCAGAUCCUACGGGGGGGAGCAGGAGGGAAUCUUCCGGCAUGGGGCGAAGGCUGACGGAGGCAACGCGGGGGAGUGAAGAAGGUCUUUGGAUCGUAAAACCCCUGUAUUAAGGAAGGAAAAAUGUGUAAGGAACCAAGCCACUUUUGACCGUAACUAAUCAGAAAGGCACCGGCAACUUAGGG